rnacentral:lncRNA from 1 species
GAGGGUAUGAUCAUGGCAUUUCUUGCGAUGGAUAGAUGAGAGAGGUGGUUUUCCGGUAGGUCGAGGAUGAGUUCCGAAAAGAGAAGACGAGCCACCUUGUUUCCCAUCAGAGACACUCCCAUCAGCUGUAACAGAAGACAGGAAGGACGAAGUAGUCGUGCCAGAGCUAAAACAAUCCUUGGAAUACUGACUGCCGAAUGACAAGUCGUUUUUGGUCUCAGAUUUAAA